rnacentral:rRNA from 1 species
CGGAGAGUUUGAUCCUGGCUCAGGAUGAACGCUGGCGGCGUGCCUAAUACAUGCAAGUCGAACGGAGAGUUUGGAAGAAUCCUCGGAGGAAGCUGAACUUCUUAGUGGCGAACGGGUGAGUAUCGCGUUGGUGACCUGCCCCAAAGCGGGGGACAACAGUUCGAAAGAAUUGCUAAUACCCCAUGUGUCCUUCUAUGUUUAGAAGUAGAAGGGUAAAGGAGAAAUCCACUUUGGGAGGGGCCUGCGUCCCAUCAGCUAGUUGGUAAGGUAAAGGCUUACCAAGGCGUAGACGGGUAGGGGACCUGAGAGGGUGGCCCCCCACAAUGGAACUGAAACACGGUCCAUACACCUACGGGUGGCAGCAGUAGGGAAUAUUGCACCAUGGGCGAAAGCCUGAUGCAGCAACGCCGCGUGAGCGAUGAAGGCCUUCGGGUCGUAAAGCUCUUUUCAAGGGGAAGAGGAAGGACGGUACCCUUGGAAUAAGUCUCGGCUAACUACGUGCCAGCAGCCGCGGUAAAACGUAGGAGGCGAGCGUUAUCCGGAUUUACUGGGCGUAAAGCGCGUGUAGGCGGCGUAGAAAGUUGGAUGUGAAAGCUCCUGGCUUAACUGGGAGAGGUCGUUCAAAACUUCUAUGCUAGAGUUUGGUAGAGGAAAAUGGAAUUCCGGGAGUAGUGGUGAAAUGCGUAGAUAUCCGGAGGAACACCAGUGGCGAAAGCGAUUUUCUGGACCAAUACUGACGCUCAGACGCGAAAGCUAGGGUAGCAAACGGGAUUAGAGACCCCGGUAGUCCUAGCCGUAAACGAUGUAGACUUGGCGUUGGGUGGGUAAAACUGCUCAGUGCCGAAGCAAACGCGAUAAGUCUACCGCCUGGGGACUACGGCCGCAAGGUUAAAACUCAAAGGAAUUGACGGGGCCCCGCACAAGCAGCGGAGCGUGUGGUUUAAUUCGAUGCUACACGAAGAACCUUACCAGGGUUUGACAUAUAAGUGGUAGGGAAGGGAAACCGGACCGACCCUUCGGGGAGCUUAUACAGGUGCUGCAUGGCUGUCGUCAGCUCGUGUCGUGAGAUGUUCGGUUAAGUCCGCUAACGAGCGCAACCCUCGCUGUGUGUUACAAGUGUCACACGGAACUGCCGGUCUUAAACCGGAGGAAGGUGGGGAUGACGUCAAGUCAGCAUGGCCUUUAUAUCCUGGGCUACACACACGCUACAAUGGAUAGGGACAACAGGUAGCGAAGCCGCGAGGUGGAGCCAAUCCCAGAAAACUAUUCUCAGUUCAGAUUGUAGGCUGCAACUCGCCUGCAUGAAGUCGGAGUUGCUAGUAACCGCAGGUCAGCAAUACUGCGGUGAAUACGUUCCCGGGGCUUGUACACACCGCCCGUCACGUCAUGGGAGCUGGUAACACCUGAAGCCGGUAGCCUAACCCGCAAGGGAGGGCGCUGUCGAAGGUGGUGCUGGUGACUGGGACGAAGUCGUAACAAGGUAGGUGUACCGGAAGGUGCGCCUGGAUCACCUCCUUUCUA